rnacentral:rRNA from 1 species
UACGAAGGGGGGCUAGCGUUGUUCGGAUUAACUGGGCGUAAAGGGUGCGUAGGCGGGUUUUUAAGUCAGGGGUGAAAUCCCGAGGCUCAACCUCGGAACUGCCUUUGAUACUGGAAAUCUUGAGUCUGGGAGAGGUGAGUGGAACUGCGAGUGUAGAGGUGAAAAUUCGUAGAUAUUCGCAAGAACACCGGUGGCGAAGGCGGCUCACUGGCCCGGAACUGACGCUGAGGCACGAAAGCGUGGGGAGCAAACAGGG